GGCCUUUAGAUUAUAAUUUAAGGUCUGACCUGCCCAAUGAUUAUUUUGAAUGGCCGCAGUAUUUUGACUGUGCAAAGGUAGCAUAAUCAUUAGUUUUUUAAUUGAAAGCUGGAAUGAAUGGUUUGAUGAAAAAAUAGCUGUCUCAAUAAAAUUUGUUUAGAAUUUUAAUUUUAAGUGAAAAAGCUUAAAUUUUUUAUGAAGACGAGAAGACCCUAUAGAGUUUAAUACUAUUAUUUCUAAUUGUUUUAGGUUUAUUUUGCACAUUAGUAUAUAUAGUAUUUUGUUGGGGUGACAGAAAAAUUUAAGUAACUUUUUAUGUUUUAAUACAUUUAUUUAUGGGUUUUUGAUCCUUAUUUUUGGAUUAUAAGAUUAAAUUACCUUAGGGAUAACAGCGUAAUUUCUUUGGAGAGUUCUUAUCGAUAGAGGAGUUUGCGA
rnacentral:rRNA from 1 species